rnacentral:tRNA from 2 species
GGCGGCCCUGGGGCUCGGCGCUCUCCGCCUCGGCCGCGGGGGCCUCGGCGGGGGCCGCCUCCGGCUCCGGGGCCGGAGCCCCGCCGCC